rnacentral:rRNA from 1 species
GAUGAACGCUGGCGGCGUGCCUAAUACAUGCAAGUCGAGCGAACAGAUGAGGAGCUUGCUCCUCUGACGUUAGCGGUGGACGGGUGAGUAACACGUGGAUAACCUACCUAUAAGACUGGGAUAACUUCGGGAAACCGGAGCUAAUACCGGAUAAUAUAUUGAACCGCAUGGUUCAAUAGUGAAAGACGGUUUUGCUGUCACUUAUAGAUGGAUCCGCGCCGCAUUAGCUAGUUGGUAAGGUAACGGCUUACCAAGGCAACGAUGCGUAGCCGACCUGAGAGGGUGAUCGGCCACACUGGAACUGAGACACGGUCCAGACUCCUACAGGAGGCAGCAGUAGGGAAUCUUCCGCAAUGGGCGAAAGCCUGACGGAGCAACGCCGCGUGAGUGAUGAAGGUCUUCGGAUCGUAAAACUCUGUUAUUAGGGAAGAACAAAUGUGUAAGUAACUAUGCACGUCUUGACGGUACCUAAUCAGAAAGCCACGGCUAACUACGUG